AUACUUACCUGGAAAGGGAGGGGCCAUGAAUAUGAAGGUGAUUUUUCCAGGGCGAGGCUUAUCGAUUGUACUGUGGGUAUGCUGAUCCCUAAGAUUUCCCCAACUUCAGGAAACUGGAAACUUGGCUGCAUAACUUGUGAUAGUGGGGGACUGAGAUCAUGCUCUCCCCUG